CCCCCUCUCUUCAACCCUACCUCUCUUCACCCCCCUCUCUUCACCCCCCUCUCUUCACCCCCGUCUUCACUGUUCUUGCUUUCUGUCCCCCUCAUUAGGUAGUUCUGCUUAAAGCAGCCCGUAGAGUACAGUCUCUUACACCCUUUCACCAACAGUCUCUGGUACACCAACACACAGUCUGUCUGGUACACCAACACACAGUCUGUCUGGUACACCAACACACAGUCUGUCUGGUACACCAACACACAGUCUGUCUGGUACACCAACACACAGUCUGUCUGGUACACCAACACACAGUCUGUCUGGUACACCAACACACAGUCUGUCUGGUACACCAACACACAGUCUGUCUGGUACACCAACACACAGUCUGUCUGGUACACCAACACACAGUCUGUCUGGUACACCAACACACAGUCUGUCUGGUACACCAACACACAGUCUGAUAGAGAGAUGGAAUGGGGUAUCACUGUAUCAGUCCUUAUGUCUCUCGAUCAGCCCUUAUCUGUUUCCUCUAGGACCAUUUCUAUUGGCUGUUUUCUGACCCCGCCCCUAACCACCCACACUAACAGUAGAGGCUGUUAUUAUUGAUUAUCAGUUUCUCUUUGUAAACUAGCCAGAGUCUGCAACAAAAAAAAUCUGUUUUAUUCAAUUUUGCUUCAUACUUUUUUUUCUUAAUCUUUUUAAUGUGUUCUAACCCUUCUAUCAAAGCAACCGUUAGUUCUGAGAGGCUUUAGCCAAACAUAGAGAUUUAUAUUGGAACCAUUUACGAUGAUCCUUCUUGGUAUUUGAUAUGCCAUAAAUCAUUUUAAAGAUCACCUUGUCGUUGUUAUUACUAUGUCAGUUAAAUAUCGCCCGUCUAAAGCUUUUUAAAUGAUCAUCGUUUCUGCACUGCGUUCGUAUAUUCUCGUAUUAUUAACAUCCCUUAUAAAGAUUUCAUGGUCGACUCAAGUGAAGCUGAACUUGGCACAGAGUUGGAAGUCCCCAGAAAAAAUAUUGGCCUAUCAUGAGAGCGAUUCUAUGAUGACAUCACAGCACGUGUGAUUGGUUUACCCCUAUAGAGUGGAGUUUUGUGAUGAGUAGAACAGAGCCUUAUUGGUUACUGUAGGACUGUAUUAUAAGGUUUCAGUACAUGUAUGGCUACACUGCCUGAGUGGUCCAGACUAGAUAGGCUUACAGGUAAUAAAGACAGUUGAUUGCAUUCCAUAUUUCACUCGAUUCCUGAUAAUAGUGCACCACUUUUGACCUUGUGGUGCAGGGAGGUUUCUGUCAUGUUUCAUUUCUGAGACCCUAUGGUCCUGGUCAUGAGUAGUGUACUAGAAAGGGAAUCGGAUGCUAUUUGGGAUGCAGCUAGGGAGGAGGAGUGAGCGGUCAGUUCAGGUCACAUGAUGAUGAUAUGACAUCUUACAGGUGUCAGUCUGUGAGUAUCUGUACCAACGCCUUCUGAAGCAACUGUAACGCAUAAACUGUAAACCAGCAGUAAUGUCAACUAUAUCAUGUACUGUAAGCCCCCCACCCCUCAAAACAACAACAGUGCAGUAAAGGGUUCAUCUUCAUCACUACUAUUAUUGCUGUUCUAAUUAUGAUCGGUAUAAUUUGUCAUCGUUAGCUAAAUGGAAGCACCAGAAUGUUGUGGAGAGCAGAGCCCUUUUAUAUUCGUCUGGCUGGGGAGGAAGUGAUGUCACAAAGGAGGACUGGAACAGGAGGAGAGGCUUGAUGAUGUAAAGAUGGCGGUCGUGUUUGUACGGUUGAGAAACGACUUACAGUGCUGAAAUAAAAUUUAUUCUUUUAGUAAAAAAAAAAAAAAGUACUACUGUCUGUCUUUUUGUGACCAGGAUGUAAGAAUGCUGUGGCAACGCACAAUAUGCAGUCAUGUACAAUCACACUGCAACAAGCCACACCUUCAGCUUUCCAGGGGUCAGAUUAUUCGUAUGCUGUUAUGUUCUUAUUCACAAUACCUAACAAAUUAUCCCAAACUACACUGCUCAUUUUCCAAGCAGCCACAGUGCAUUUGAAUCAGAUGUGCAGCAUUACCCACUGCAAAUUGGUCACAUCGAACGAGCCCACAAACUGCAGGGAAACUCACGGAAACUCACACAGCCUUUCAACAGCACCCAGCGCUCCAUUGCAGAUUAGUGAUGGGCAUUCCGAGUCUUUUCGCUGAGCCGGCUGGUUCAAAAUGCUUAAAAAUUGACCUUGAACCAUGAAAAAAUGGCAAAUUUCCAAUGUAAUGCAAGUCCUACCUGACAAGAUACAAAGCUGUCGUUCUGCCUCUGAACAGGCAGUUAACCCAUUGAAAAUAAGAAUUUAUUCUUAGCUGACUUGCCUGGUUAAAUAAAGGUAAAAUAAAAAUAAUGAAUGAAUGUUUACCUGGCCAUAUUAAUGUUUACCUGGCCAUAUUAGAUGCCCUGCGAAAAAAAAAUAAUUUUAUGCACGCAACAAAUCCGCGUGGACCAGAUUAAUGCGCUCUCCCGACUGAAUUGUUUCUGAAGUGAGGAUUCCCCCUCCAGAUAAUUAUUUUGUAAUUUAUCUGCAGAAAAACAGUUUGAUCUCAAAAAGCAGCAGUAUGCAAAUCAGGUAGCCAAAUGAAUGGCUCUUUCUCCGACGCGAUUCGGAUCCCGACAUUCACCAAAAAAAAAACAGUUCAAAAGAGCUGUUCGUUCGC
ensembl:lncRNA